UACGUAGGGGGCAAGCGUUGUCCGGAAUUAUUGGGCGUAAAGAGCGCGUAGGCGGUCCGGUAAGUCGGCUGUGAAAGUCAAGGGCUCAACCCUUGAAAGCCGGCCGAUACUGUCGGACUAGAGUCCGGAAGAGGCGAGUGGAAUUCCUGGUGUAGCGGUGAAAUGCGCAGAUAUCAGGAGGAACACCUAUUGCGAAGGCAGCUCGCUGGGACGUUACUGACGCUGAGACGCGAAAGCGUGGGGAGCAAACAGG
rnacentral:rRNA from 1 species